UCCCUGUUACCAGGGCAGUUUAAGUAGAAAAAUUCAACUACUUACAAGGGUUGCGCUCGUUGAUGGACUUAACCAAACAUCUCACGACACGAGCUGACGACGGCCAUGCAACACCUGUCACUGCGCUCAAUAAAGCACUCCCGGCUUUCGCCAGGAUUCGCAGGAUGUCAAGCCUGGGUAAGGUUCUUCGCUUACCGUCGAAUUAAACAACACGCUCCACCGCUUGUGCGGGUCCCCGUCAAUUCCUUUAUGUUUUAAGCUUGCGCUCGUACUCCACAGGCGGGAUGCUUAACGCGUUAGCUUCGCUACUAGAAGGGUCGAUACUUCUAACAGCUAGCAUCCAUAGUUUACGGCGUGGACUAC
rnacentral:misc_RNA from 1 species